GUGGACGUAGCUCAGUUGGUAGAGCCCCGGAUUGUGAUUCCGGUUGUCGUGGGUUCAAUCCCCAUCGUUCACC
rfam:Gammaproteobacteria bacterium GWE2_42_36 gwe2_scaffold_2099, whole genome shotgun sequence.